rnacentral:rRNA from 1 species
UACGUAGGGUGCGAGCGUUGUCCGGAAUUACUGGGCGUAAAGAGCUCGUAGGCGGUUUGUCGCGUUGUUCGUGAAGUCUCACGGCUUAACUGUGAGCGUGCGGGCGAUACGGGCAGACUGGAGUACUGCAGGGGAGACUGGAAUUCCUGGUGUAGCGGUGAAAUGCGUAGAUAUCGAGAGGAACACCUGCGGCGAAGGCGGGUAGCUGGGCCGACACUGACGCUGAGGCGCGAAAGCCAGGGGAGCGAACGGG